rnacentral:piRNA from 2 species
UGGAAAUUCCACCACAAAGAUGAGAUCGUA